UAGGGAAUAUUGGACAAUGGGGGCAACCCUGAUCCAGCCAUGCCGCGUGAGUGAAGAAGGCCCUCGGGUUGUAAAGCUCUUUUGUCCGGAAAGAAAAGCUUCGGGUUAAUACCCCGGGGUUCUGACGGUACCGGAAGAAUAAGCACCGGCUAACUUCGUGCCAGCAGCCGCGGUAAUACGAAGGGUGCAAGCGUUACUCGGAAUUACUGGGCGUAAAGCGUGCGUAGGUGGUUGUUUAAGUCUGAUGUGAAAGCCCUGGGCUCAACCUGGGAAUGGCAUUGGAAACUGGGCAGCUAGAGUGCGGUAGAGGGUAGUGGAAUUCCGCGUGUAGCAGUGAAAUGCGUAGAGAUGCGGAGGAACACCGAUGGCGAAGGCAGCCCCCUGGGCCGACACUGACGCUCAGGCACGAAAGCGUGGGGAGCAAACA
rnacentral:rRNA from 1 species